CUCUAUGUUUGUAUAUCAAUUUCCUCUCCCAAGUUUUUCUCGUUACUUGCUUACGAAUAUUUUCUGGUUAUUCGUUGGCCGUUGCUACCUUUAGCUAGAUAUGAGUUUGUGUUUAUAGAUCUGAGUUUGUGUGUGUAGAUCUGAGUUUUGGUGUUUGUAUAUAACUUUCCUCUCUCAUUGGCCGUUGCCCAAUUUAGCUAGAUCUGAGUUUGUGUUUAUAGAUCUAAGUUUCUAUGAGUAGAUCUAUAAAAAGUAAAGGAUUUCUGCAGUUGGGGUUAUGGGCUUUUGCUAGGGAUGUGAUUUUUUGCUCUAUUAAUCUCUCUAGAUGCUGUGAUUGUGUUUAUUAAACUUUUUUUUUCUCUUCUUUUUGGUUUAGAUUUGGGUUUGGUUUUUUUUUUUUCCAAUCUCUAGUCUAUUUUCCAUUUUUUUUUCUUGCUAUUAAUUUAUCUGGAUGUUGUAUGUUGAGAAUCUGAAGUUCUCUAUUUCUCCACUGCGUUCAUUAAAUUUUUUUUCCUUCCUUUUGGUUUGGAUCUGGGUUUGGAGAAAUAUGAUAAAAAACUCAGCACGUACUCCAGUUUUUUUCCCAGGUUUAUAUUGGUUGGGAUCUGGAUUUCCACUGUAUUUAAUUUGAAACUUUUUCAUAAUGCAAAUAUAGAUAUAAGGUAUAAAAUUUUUCUUGAUGAAUGGGAAUCAGACCCAAGGGUCAAUGCAGGAAUGGAUAUUAAAGUGGUCGUUGCAGAGAUUCUAAAGGACAAAAACACACCUCUUGUCCAGAAGGUUCUUUUAUAAUGCUUGAUAUGUGCUGACAAUACAUAUCCGAGUUUAUCUGUAGGUGGUGAUAUCAAGCAUUUCUCAACCAAAAACCAUCUAUUAAAUGUGAUUGAGGUCUUGUUGUUCCUUAAAUAGAGCUUGUCAUGGAAUAGCAGUAUUGGAUUUACACAUGAGUAGCACCUUUUGUGCUUUUCUUUUUUGUUGAUAGUGGCCUUUUUUUAAGAUCUUGGUAGAUAUGAUAUUUGCAUUAGUGCUUUAUACCUCAAGCAAUAAUUGUGAAUAAAGUGACUAUAUAUGAUCCAACCUUUCUAGGAUUUGUUGAGAUAUUAAAUAGUCGAAUGAUAUUGACACUAGAGAUGGGGAAACUUUCAGGAAGAAAAAUAUCAAUAUUAUAUCAAGAUCAUACGACAAGUUUAACUUUCAACCUUGGGGUUUAGGUGUUAAUUUUUGUAUCCUUUUUCCCACGAUAAUGCUAGCUACUUGUUGAAUUCUCAGAUAUCACAAUUAAAUAAUAAUUAUAAAUGAAAUUGGGGUUCUUUCAUUUUCCUUUGGUUGGUUGGGGUGGACUGUGGAGUGGAUCAUGUGAUGGAAUAAACUCCUAAUAAAUAUGUAGACAAAGUUAUUGGAGAGAGUACUGAUUUAAUUAAAUAUGUAGACAACAACUUUGGGGGGCCUUCUCUUUUACCUGAUGUAAGAUUUGAGUAAUUCAUUUGUGCCCUUGCUCAAAAGCUGUUUUUCUCCAUUUAUUUCUUUUGGACUGAACUUAUUUUGGGAAAUGUUAUAGGAUCUUGAAUCAGGUCCAGCUUUUGAUCACUUGGAAAAUGCUCGACAUAAGUUUGAUGAUGGGCCAUUUUUCCUUAGGCAAUUCAGUUUGUUUAUGGCUUGCUAAUUGGAACAAUACCCUAUCAUCUGGAGCUACUCAUGCUGAUGUAUUGCAGCAAUUGAUGGAGCUUUUCUCAAAAUCAAUCUCAGGAUUGUAAUUUUCCACCUUAAUCAAGGUGGAAGACCCUUUGUAAUUGAUGUUAUUGUAAUUGAUUGUAAUUGAUUAUUUAUUUUGUUUUUUAUAAAUUUAUGUUUUGCAUUGUGAUGUAACAACAAUAUUAUCUAGUUUUCAUUUGUAUUUAUUUUGUUCUUCAA